UUGCAGCCAAGGAAUCAUGAGCCUGACAGAAGCCUUGAACGCAUUCCAAUCUUGUGUUUGCAAGGCAUGGAAGUUCAUCAUCAGAGUUUCAGUCAUGACCAGAAAGCUCAGCCAGAAUCCUGCCAUGGGACUUGGGGUAUUACAUGCCCUAUUAGUAUCAAAUAGGACCAUAAUACCCAUUUUCCUAUUUACGGUAGCCAUUAUGGCAGCCAUCUUGGAUUUUUGCCUCUGGUGUUCCAUAUAAAUUACUUUUUAGGGCAGAAAUUAAUUUCUGGACCUCCAAAACAUACAUUUAGA